rnacentral:rRNA from 1 species
CCAAGGCAACGAUGCAUAGCCGACCUGAGAGGGUGAUCGGCCACACUGGAACUGAGACACGGUCCAGACUCCUACGGGAGGCAGCAGUAGGGAAUCUUCCGCAAUGGGCGAAAGCCUGACGGAGCAACGCCGCGUGAGUGAUGAAGGUCUUCGGAUCGUAAAACUCUGUUAUUAGGGAAGAACAUAUGUGUAAGUAACUGUGCACAUCUUGACGGUACCUAAUCAGAAAGCCACGGCUAACUACGUGCCAGCAGCCGCGGUAAUACGUAGGUGGCAAGCGUUAUCCGGAAUUAUUGGGCGUAAAGCGCGCGUAGGCGGUUUUUUAAGUCUGAUGUGAAAGCCCACGGCUCAACCGUGGAGGGUCAUUGGAAACUGGAAAACUUGAGUGCAGAAGAGGAAAGUGGAAUUCCAUGUGUAGCGGUGAAAUGCGCAGAGAUAUGGAGGAACACCAGUGGCGAAGGCGACUUUCUGGUCUGUAACUGACGCUGAUGUGCGAAAGCGUGGGGAUCAAACAGGAUUAGAUACCCUGGUAGUCCACGCCGUAAACGAUGAGUG